rnacentral:rRNA from 1 species
CCUACGGGAGGCAGCAGUGAGGAAUAUUGGUCAAUGGGCGCGAGACUGAACCAGCCAAGUAGCGUGAAGGAUGACUGCCCUGCGGGUUGUAAACUUCUUUUAUAAAGGAAUAAAGUGUGGCACGUGUGCCUUUUUGUAUGUAUCUUAUGAAUAAGGAUCGGCUAACUCCGUGCCAGCAGCCGCGGUAAUACGGAGGAUCCGAGCGUUAUCCGGAUUUAUUGGGUUUAAAGGGAGCGUAGAUGGGUUGUUAAGUCAGUGGUGAAAGUUUGCGGCUCAACCGUGAAAUUGCAAUUGAUACUGGCAGUCUUGAGUACAGGUGAGGUAUGCGGAAUUCGUGGUGUAGCGGUGAAAUGCUUAGAUAUCACGAAGAACUCCGAUUGCGAAGGCAGCAUACUAAACUGCCACUGACAUUGAUGCUCGAAAGUGUGGGUAUCAAACAGGAUUAGAUACCCUUGUAGUC